AGGCGGGACCGCUGCUGAGGAGCGCCUGGUCGCGCGCUCCCGUUUCUCGCCUUUCCGCUCGACCUCUCCAGGUUGUCGAUGGGCAGCAAACGGAAAUGGGCGAAUAUAAUUAUUUUUGGACGUAAAAGUUAGGGAGGCAGCAGCAGCAAGAACUGCCUUGAGAAACAGCAGAAUGAAAGAGAUGCAAGGUGCCCAGAUGAGGCUGAAAUGGAUCACUCGAUGACAAAGCUGAAGUGCGAGCAGUCGGAGAAAUGAAUCAAAGGAUGGAAUGCUCCUUGCCAAUUUCUGUUUCCUUACUUCACUACUGAGAACAGUAAAUCAGCUCACAGUUACCACUGUCCUUCUCCACCGUGUACGCUGCCACUUCAACUACAGGUUUCCACUACCAUUGAACAUACAUCAAAGAAACAGUCAGGAGCAUUAUAAAAAAGAGUAUAUACAUUUCAAAAAUUUCUUUUCCAUUCUCUCUUUUAAUUUUAAUAUUCUGCAAAAACUCCUAAGGAAUACUGGACUGUAAAAUAGCUUGAAGAUCUAUCAUGAUCAUUUGUGAUAUUUUUAUCUUUGCUAUUGUUUUUGUGUCAUAUUAAGAAUCAAAUUUUCAAGGCUUGCCAAAAGAAAUGUGUAGGUUUCUGCCUGGACUUGGAAAAAUACUUUGGCAGGUAAAUAUGGCAAGUAAAUAUGCUGAAACAGGGCACGCCUACCUCUCACUGGUAUUUCUGGAAGAGGCAUUUACCCUGAACAUGAUUUUAGAAAGAAGCUUGACCCUUAGUGUGUUUGGGAAUCUACGUGCCUUGAACAAACUGCUCUCAUUUUACUGAAGGUGAAUAAUUCCCGAGGUUUGCUUAGAAAUUUAAGACAUACCACAGUAGAAGUAUUGGAGAACAU
rnacentral:lncRNA from 1 species